rnacentral:lncRNA from 1 species
AAAAUGACCAACCCUACAUCUAUCACUUGUGAGCCCCUUUUGAGCUUAAUGAUUCAUUUGAAUUCACUUAUAAAUUUUGCCUAGAUUUGAGCCGUCCCGGUCAAACUGAACUUAAGGGCAAAAGAAAGGGAGAUAGUGUAGUAGAUCCUAUGGGCAGGACUAGUGCAAAAAUUGCAAAAUGGGACAUCUAAUCCCAAAGUAAAGAAAAAGUCCAGAAAGAAAAUAAAAAAAAAAAUAGAAAAAGAAAAGAAAAAAAAUGAGGAAGAAUGUGCUUAGGCCCGCGAGAAUAGGCAAAGGUUUUAAAAAUCUGGGAGGUCAUAUGCCCAGAACGAAGUUCAGAAUGACCUUAGCCUCGUACCAAAAAUUCUCACCUUAUGCCUUAAGCCACAUUACAACCAAUAAAAGACCUAAUGAG